UAAAGGCUCGUGGGCCUCUUUGCAUGUCCUUAGUCUCACGGUGAGGUCGCUGAUGUCCUCCCAUUCCCAGUGGGCCGGAUACCAACUCCCAGUGCCAGUUUUUCAUUUCCUGCUCGGAACGACUGCACAGAAAGUUGCGCAACACUCAAAAAACAACAGCCGGUAAGCAGCAGUCGUCUCUAAUAUGUUGUGGGUGUUGUUGUUACAUAAACGACUGACUCGUGGAGGACUUCCCCCGUACCGGCUCCCCUGGCGGACUCAGUGGAACCGGUGCAUAAACAAGUCAGAUAAGAUCCUACGGACUCCCACUUCUGAUCCUCAGACUUUCCCAUGAUGCAUUUCUGCGUCAUCCGUCUUCAUUAGCCGACUCACGGGGAGGGUUUUGGUCCCACGUGAUGGACCUGUUCGGGACCCGUUCUGUCUCUGAAGUGGUCUCCGUCGAUCGGGACCCAGAUUCUUUCCCGUGGAGGACCCAUCACAUCCAGCUGAUCGAGUCCGAUUCGGAGGACCUCUCCGACUCGUUCUCGGGCUGUAGCGAAGACGACAGCGAGACCGGUUCGGACGCCACGGACACGAGCGAUGUUUCCG